AUGGAAAUAGGAUGGAUAUACUAUGGAUUUUGUGGUGCAAUUGCAAAUUUCGUAGUAUGGAUAUGAUUUCACUUUUUUUUUUCCAGUGGACGCUGCUCGUAGUCUUGCUACUCCACUCUCUUGUUGCUCCUGAUAGUUGUAUUUGUUCUUGUAAAUUAAGUUAUGUUAAAAGUUAUGUUAAUGAAAUUGUAUAUGUUUAUAUAUAGUAUAUUUGUGAAAUAGGG